AUAAAUGAUUUUCUUUUUACAUUAAAAUAGAAUUAAAAUCACGAUUUGCUAUCAAAGAUGCUGACGGCGAACACGAGUUUUGCUCUGGAAUAUUACCACCGGAGACAUACAAAUCAAAAGGUUCAAGAAUCGAAUUGUUUUAUCGUCGUCUUGAUUUUUCGGGGGGAUACUUGUAUUCGUAUGGCGUAAAAAGAGAGCGAAUUGAAGGAUUUCGGAUACAUUAUAAAAUAACAAAUCAUUCAUUUCAAACGUUUACAACUGAGAUUACAGGAUCUGAAUCAGAAUCAUCAGCUUGCUCAGUGCUUUUCAGAAAAUGCUAUACAGUAUUAUCUGAAGAGGUCUCAUGGGAUAUUGCAAACAGCAAAUGCCGUAAGCGCAGUGAACAUCUUGUUACUAUAACAUCAAGAAAGGAAAUGAAUUACCUACAAUACUUACUACGAAAUGCGUUAAAACGGCGGCGUUCGAAAGAAACACUUCAUGGAGCGCAUAUUGGCUUAAGACGACUUACGGACAAAAACAAGAAGACAAGUUUUAAUUGGGUCAACGGCAAUAGAGUUACUUUCACUGCAUGGUAAUGAACUUAUGUGAUACUACUUAACAACAAUUUUGAAAACAAUUAUAUUGUAAUCAUAUCAUGCUUAGUGCGGGUAAUUUAUAUAGUGCCUAUAAUUUACAAACACAAUUUACCUAUUAACCCAUUACUUCAUGAGCAUUUUGUGAAAAAUGGCUGUUUUCAUUGAAAAGUCUUUUGUUACUAGUUCAAAUUGCUAUAAUACUAUAAAAACUGCUUCAACACUAAUCAAACUUGGCACAAAUGUUGACUGGACCAUUGCCCUUGAAACAACAUGCUCAGGCUUAAAUUUUCUGUUACCAUGGCAACGAGGGGAUGUCAGAAUAAUCAUACAGUUUCACUGUAGAUAGUUUUUUUUACAACGAGUCUGCGAUACACUGAAGUUUACAGAUUUCAAUGUACAGUUUCAUUUAUAAACCUGUUGCUGGGAGUAUAAAAUAUGUAUACAUGUUUAAAGGUCAGCAAAUAUGCGCAUUUUGAAAGAGAUUUUACAUCAGUUAGGAGAGACACGCUGAUAGUGUGUAGCGGUUAUUUUUUUAUUUAGAAGAGAAUUUUGUUGUUUUGUAGGGAGUUUUGUUGGUUUGUUGAAGUUGGUUGAAUAUAAUUGUGGUGAUCUUAAUUGAUCAGGGUUUAUUGGUUGUAAUUAGUUGUUUUGGUUGUUGAGUUAUAUCUGUUUGUGAAGAUAUAAUUGGUUGAUAUUGGUUGAAUGUUUGUCUGGUCAAAAUUAUAUUAGUUGAUGCUUUGAUUUGAGGAUAUAUGUAAAUAUUGGGUGCUUUAGUUUAAGUUGUUUUCUGAUGCUGAUUAGAUUGUGUGAAGUUAAUAUUGUUGGAUGAAUGUUUGUGGUUUAUAGUGUAUCUUAGAUUUGUAAAAAUAUUCAUUUUUUGUGUUCUUCAUUUUUGUAGUGAUUUUAUUGUUUUGUUUGGUCAUAAGUUGUUUAGAGCUUGGGCUCUUUAGGUGUCUUGUUUUGUUUCGUAUAAAAGACGUAUACGUGGAAAGAUAUUUCGUAUAAGUGGCUAAUAAAUGAUGUGUGUUUGUUUUGGGUGUAAAUAAUGAUCAGAGUUCUGU